GAUCUGGUAGCACAAUCGGUAGUGCAUCUACUGCCAGUCUAACAUCUCCCGGACGAGUACUUAGAAGAUCCCGGUUCGACCCCGGGUCAGAUCU